AAUUCUUCUUUACAAUCUGUUGUUUGCAUUCUCUACAACCAUUUUCUUUAUAUAUUUGGAGUUAUGAUUUCAUCAUUUAAGAAUUGACACUCAGCAAUGCAUUUUAUAGACAUGCUAAGAACUCGUGGCAAGGUUUGUGCUUUGAUUUACUUGGAAAAAAAAAGAGAGUACAGUAACAAGGCUGUUGGGUUCUUAGAUGUUGGCUGUGUCCUGUAAUUUUGGUUAUGGAAAUUUGUAAUAUGCACUAUCUAGCCGAUAGAGAUUAGAAUGUCAAGGUCGAGGCUUUCUUUUUGGAUGUUUCUGUGUAAGUUGAAGAAAGAAAUCCAGAGCCUCAUAGUUUUAGUAAGAGAUCUGAGCCUUUUCUUCCCCUAUGCCUGGUUAAAAUUUUGUUUAUUUCAACCAGGCAUCAUUCCUUGUAUAUAUUUAGUGCCUGAGGUCUCUCAACAAAUCUGGUCUCUAAUCUUCAGGAUGUCUGAAAUACGAGUUUUGUCUGAAUUCAAACCAGAAGAAGCAAUUGCAUUAGUUUGUCAUGAAACAGAUGCUUUAUAGGCCUGUAUUAAUAAAAUCCUGAAUUCCUAACUAUCGUCCUUUCUAAAGGUGUUAGAGUCUUUUUCCUUGCUGUAUAUUAGAGUGGCAAUACCUGCCAUGUGCUUUUUUCCCCUUCGAUUCGACAUCUUGUUUCUUGUGAUCCAUCACAAAGUAUGUGCCUGUGCACAUGCAUUAUGUUGUUUAAUAGCAAGAUGGUUUCCUGUUUGCUUUCCAGUGCUCUUAUUGCGAGAUUCAGCUAUCCACUCUCAUGAUGUAUUUGGAAGCCCUUCUCCAUCUCCAGAGAAAUAAAGAGACUUGCUCGUGCCUGUACAGUAAAAUAAAGAGAAAAACAGGAAUACUAUUCACUUUUUAAUAAGAGGCUGAAAUGUUGAAAGCAUUUCCUUAGUUUCCUGUAUCCAGCCCUACUUCAAACAACUCACCUGAUGAAAUCAUGAUACAAAGUCAUGUCUGUUUCUCAUGACUUUGAAUCUGGUUGUACAGUGAAGACUUGCUGGUGGUGACAACACUCAUUAUUUAGACUCUUGC
rnacentral:lncRNA from 1 species